rnacentral:rRNA from 1 species
UGAAGAGUUUGAUCCUGGCUCAGAUUGAACGCUGGCGGCAUGCCUUACACAUGCAAGUCGAACGGCAGCACGGGGGCAACCCUGGUGGCGAGUGGCGAACGGGUGAGUAAUACAUCGGAACGUGUCCUGUAGUGGGGGAUAGCCCGGCGAAAGCCGGAUUAAUACCGCAUACGCUCUACGGAGGAAAGGGGGGGAUCUUAGGACCUCCCGCUACAGGGGCGGCCGAUGGCAGAUUAGCUAGUUGGUGGGGUAAAGGCCUACCAAGGCGACGAUCUGUAGCUGGUCUGAGAGGACGACCAGCCACACUGGGACUGAGACACGGCCCAGACUCCUACGGGAGGCAGCAGUGGGGAAUUUUGGACAAUGGGCGAAAGCCUGAUCCAGCAAUGCCGCGUGUGUGAAGAAGGCCUUCGGGUUGUAAAGCACUUUUGUCCGGAAAGAAAACCUCCGCCCUAAUAUGGUGGGGGGAUGACGGUACCGGAAGAAUAAGCACCGGCUAACUACGUGCCAGCAGCCGCGGUAAUACGUAGGGUGCAAGCGUUAAUCGGAAUUACUGGGCGUAAAGCGUGCGCAGGCGGUCCGCUAAGACAGAUGUGAAAUCCCCGGGCUUAACCUGGGAACUGCAUUUGUGACUGGCGGGCUAGAGUAUGGCAGAGGGGGGUAGAAUUCCACGUGUAGCAGUGAAAUGCGUAGAGAUGUGGAGGAAUACCGAUGGCGAAGGCAGCCCCCUGGGCCAAUACUGACGCUCAUGCACGAAAGCGUGGGGAGCAAACAGGAUUAGAUACCCUGGUAGUCCACGCCCUAAACGAUGUCAACUAGUUGUUGGGGAUUCAUUUCCUUAGUAACGUAGCUAACGCGUGAAGUUGACCGCCUGGGGAGUACGGUCGCAAGAUUAAAACUCAAAGGAAUUGACGGGGACCCGCACAAGCGGUGGAUGAUGUGGAUUAAUUCGAUGCAACGCGAAAAACCUUACCUACCCUUGACAUGUAU